rnacentral:rRNA from 1 species
UACGUAGGUGGCAAGCGUUGUCCGGAUUUAUUGGGCGUAAAGAGCGUGUAGGCGGCCAGGUAGGUCUGCUGUGAAAACUCGAGGCUCAACCUCGAGACGUCGGCGGAAACCAUCUGGCUAGAGUCCGGAAGAGGAGAGUGGAAUUCCUGGUGUAGCGGUGGAAUGCGCAGAUAUCAGGAAGAACACCAACGGCGAAGGCAGCUCGCUGGGACGGUACUGACGCUGAGACGCGAAAGCGUGGGGAGCGAACAGG